GACGAACGCUGGCGGCGUGCUUAACACAUGCAAGUCGAACGGAAAGGCCCUGCUUGCAGGGUACUCGAGUGGCGAACGGGUGAGUAACACGUGGGUGAUCUGCCCUGCACUUCGGGAUAAGCCUGGGAAACUGGGUCUAAUACCGGAUAUGACCUUCCAUGUAGUGUGGGGGGUGGAAAGAUUUAUCGGUGUGGGAUGAGCCCGCGGCCUAUCAGCUUGUUGGUGGGGUAAUGGCCUACCAAGGCGUCGACGGGUAGCCGGCCUGAGAGGGUGGACGGCCACGUUGGAGGUGGGGGGCGGCACAGGCGCCGGGGGGAGGAAGCGGGGGGGAAGAUGGCAGAGGGGGGGGAGGCUGGAGGCGGCGGGGGGGGGUGGGGGAGGAGGGCGGGGGGUGUGUAAACGGCAUGGGGGGGGGGCGAAGUUGGGGUGACGGUACGUGAAGAAGAAGCACCGGCAAACUGCGUGACGGCAGCGGAGGUAAGAAUCGGAGAGCACGCGUCUGACC
rnacentral:rRNA from 1 species